GUGAGGAAUAUUGCGCAAUGGAGGCAACUCUGACGCAGCCAUGCCGCGUGCAGGAAGAAGGCGCUACGCGUUGUAAACUGCUUUUAACCGGGAAGAAACCCCAGGACGUGUCCUGGGUUGACGGUACCGGAGGAAUAAGCACCGGCUAACUUCGUGCCAGCAGCCGCGGUAAUACGAAGGGUGCAAGCGUUAUCCGUAUUCAUUGGGUUUAAAGGGUGCGUAGGCGGAGCGUUAAGUCAGUGGUGAAAUCCUGCAGCUUAACUGUAGACUUGCCAUUGAUACUGGCGCUCUUGAGUGCGCUUGAAGUGGGCGGAAUGUGCCGUGUAGCGGUGAAAUGCUUAGAUAUGGCACAGAACACCAAUUGCGAAGGCAGCUCACUAAGGCGAUACUGACGCUGAGGCACGAAAGCGUGGGGAUCGAACAGGAUUAGAAACCCGUGUAGUCC
rnacentral:rRNA from 1 species